GAAAUGCGAUAAGUAAUGCGAAUUGCAGAAUUCCAGUGAGUCAUCGAAUCUUUGAACGCACAUUGCGCCCUUUGGUAUUCCGAAGGGCAUGCCUGUUCGAGCGUCAUUAUCACCCCUCAAGCCCUGUGCUUGGUGUUGGACGGCCGGUCGAGCGAUCGACCCCUCCUAAAGACAAUGACGGCGGCCUGUGGUUCCCCCGGUACACUGAGCUUUUCACCGAGCACGUACCGGACCAGGGCACCCGGGACCCGGUCCUCUCCUUUAAAGGAAACUUCUCAAGGUUGACCUCGGAUCAGGUAGGAAUACGCGCUGAACUUAA
rnacentral:misc_RNA from 1 species